rnacentral:rRNA from 1 species
GAGUAGGUCGGUCUCCCACCCGACCCGUCUUGAAACACGGACCAAGGAGUCUUACUGUCGUGCGAGUCGAAGGGAUAAUAAAAACCYUUUUCGGCGCAGCGAAAGCAAAGAUCGCGAUCCCCGUCUUUAUCACUGACGGGGCGCAGCGACCGCCCUUUCUGCAAGGAAGGAGCGAGAGCACGCCGGUAGGGACCCGAUAGGUGGUGAACUAUUCUCGGGCAGGACGAAGGCCGAGGAAACUCGGCUGGAGGUCCGAAGAGGUUCUGACGUGCAAAUCGAUCUCCCGACCCGAGUAUAGGGGCGAAAGACCAAUCGAACCACC